ensembl:lncRNA
GCUCCUCCAAAAAUAAUCUGCUGCUGAGUCCAGAGCUGAUCGAUGAGCAAUGCUGGUUGCACCUCAGGGUGAACACAUUUAAGGAAAGUUCUCUUACUUGCAGCUUUUGUACCCUUAGUGAUGUUGCUAAAGUUGUGGUUGCUACGGAGAUACGAUUCAAACACCCAUCUAUCAGGACAAGGACAUCUUGCAAGAGGAUCUCAUCCAAUAAUUCCAUAAACAGACAGAAGUUCAUUCUUCUGAAGUUCAGGGGUCCUGACUUUGCUUUUUGCAAGACGCUCAAGAUCACAAACUCAUGUAUUCCUCAAGAUCACAAACUCAAGCAUGAUGGCCACAGCCCAGAGUGUCUCAAGUAUUAUCCUCUUUAGUGACC